AAACCUUUAGUCAUAUGCGGCUUGCGGAACUUUGAGUCGGGUCAAAUCUCUGAGAUCCUAGAGUGAGAUUAUGGUCAUGCACCCAUGAUUGAGAUUCACUUACACCCACCAAAUAAAGCCAACUCUUACAUUGAGAAGUCGCGCACAAUAUGCACCCUUCCAUCCACCAAAAAUUUUUGCCAACUCUUAUCCUGAGAGUUGUGCCUUAGCUUUCCACCAAAUAAAAAUGCCAAACUCUCAUCCUGAGAUUUGCGCAUCCCCAAAUUCACUCCUUACUUUUUGUCCUCAUGACAUCUCUUUAAAUUUCUCUGAUUCCAUUCAUCAAGACAUAUGGGCUAUAGUUGAAAAAAAAAUAUCCAAAGGGAAAAGCCAAAAAGGCAUAGACAGGUGUUGACGGUCCUUAAUGCUCAUAUUUAACCAUCAAUUAAUCAUGAAAAAGGAUCCAAAUACAACCAACACCUAGACUUAGGGUUUUAUCUGACAGAAUUCCACAAGUUUUGGUGUUUGUCUAUUUCUGCAGGGGGUUAUUAGGAAAUACGGAAGAAAGGCCCACAAGUCGGGUUUACAUAGAGAUAUUAAUGUGCCGCGCAAUUUUCUAUCAUCUAGAAGACCCCAGAAGCCACGGGACCGAACGGGAGACGUAACGGAGCCGGGCACUGGGCGCCCGCCCUCCCCCCUGGACCAAUCAGGGUGAAGUUCGGAGAUCAUGCUCCACCGACCUAAUACUUCAAGGAAAACCACACGAUCAAUGUCGGUUUGAUCCGAUGGCCCAGAUUCACUUGAAGGGACUAUAAAACCAGACCCCCCUGGCCCCUGGAGAUCAUACCUCUUCUACAGAAUCAAAGUUAGGGUUUCAAUUCUUCAUCCAAGUAGAGAGGAUCCCUCUAGUUCUUCUAGUUCUACCUCAAGUUCAUCUAGAUCUAGUUCUAGUUCAUCUAGUUCUAGUUCUAGUUCCUCUAGUUCUAGUUCUAGUUAGUUCUAGUUGUAAUCUAGAAAAUAGGGAGAGAGAAGAGGAGAGCGGAGGAGGAGCCGGAUCUGUCGGAUCUUCCUCAACAUUGUACUUUUGCAGCAACUGGUUCGUUCUUCAUCGUUCUCCAGGUUCUUCAAUUCAUAACUCCUGAGUUCUCUAAUUACUUUUAUUUACAUUCAAGUUAUUUAUUGGAUUCCCGCUUGCAUCAAGUGCUCUAGUCUUUAUAACGCUAGAGUAGUAAUUAAUAGAUUCGACGUGGUGUUUAGUCUUGCGAUUACCUGGAAUUGCACCCAAUCCUACGGAUUGUUGUGGUAGCCCUAGGGUAGUGACAGCCCUAACGGUCGACGUAUUCCACCACGUUCGGAUCGGUGUUUGUAGGACCGUAGUCAGACCUUCCUAGCCCCCUUCUCAUCUCUUUCUGUGGUUAGUGCUCUGAUGUCCCGAUAUAGAUAAUCUUGAAGUAAUUCUUGAUUCUUAGAUCAACUAGAGAACUCUCAGGAAACUUCCUCUCUUCCCUCCAAAAAUAAUUAUAUAGUUAUCCUUGGGCAAUCUUGGGUCUUAAUUAGUACACUCACGUUCCCUGUGGAAAAUCGAUACUCUGGAAUACUCCCGGGUGAAGGCUACAUCGGUAUCCGUGCGCUUGCGGAUUUUUCUGUUUGCGUUUAAAAUACCCAACAAGCUUUCUGGCGCCGUUGCCGGGGAACGGUAGCUGUGCUAGUUUCGAACCAAGUCGUCCGUGUAUCCUUUUUCUUUUCCUUUUUUUUUACCACACUCACCUUAUCAUUUUCACCAUACCACAUGGAUUUCACUCUAAGCAUUAAUGAGCAUGGAAUUUAUUUCAUAGCCACUUCAUUUACUCCAUGCUCAUAUGCAACAUCUUCACAAUCCAUUGGUCUCUCCAACAUCACCACAUUCGAGAUCUCCAACCCCCACUUCCUUUCUAUUUAUAAAAACUUUAAAAGGGCGGUUGUCGAUGCAUAUGUCUAUAAUAAAUUUUGCAGAUCUCGUUGAGUUGAUCUUGAUAUAGGUCAGCGUUGGAGGGGAAACCACUUCGCUGACAUAAAUUAAUGGUUUCCCAAGGACAAGCUUAGUGUCCUAAAACAAGCACUGAUCAGAUCAUAACAUGAGCUUUUAAUUAUUUGCAACAUUACCUUGUGUGUUGAGCAUAUUAGGAUAAUUGUAAAAAUAUUCCUUCGGGUAUUCUUGUCACUUACCUUUCCAGGAUUGGAGCAAGAAGAUCGGAUGAAUGACAAGCACAAGGUAUGUCCAACCAAUCAUCAUACAACAUUGAAUUAAAUUCAUCCAAACUUGAAUUUUGCAAAAUUCAAGCUUGGGGGAGUACUUUACAUAAAAACAUCCUUUGCCAUGUUGCUAUGUUGGUUGUCCUUACCUUUGAGACAUGCUCAAUUUGUUAAAUACUAAUCACGCUACUUCAUCUCCACUUGAGUAGAUCUCUAUAAAUGCUCUCAUGCCACCUUUAUUUGCUUUAGUAUAUGUCUAGGUUUGGAGUAGUUUCAUUUAUCUCUUAAUUAAGCAUGGUGCUUAGCUAGGAAUGAUGAUCUUACUUCUAAGGGAUUUUAGAUUAAGCAUGGUGCUUAGGUUAAAAUACCCUCCUAAAUCAAAUUAGACAUGGUGUCUAGGUUGAUUUUUGAGCCGAUAGUAUGCUAUAGUAGAUAUUGCAUAUUUUGUUGGACUAACCCCUGCAGGAAAACUUUCAAUAUCGACCUGAGAAGUCCUGAGAUAAACUCACAUUGGAGACAAAGAGAGACACACAUGAAGUUUAACAAUUUACACAAGGAAGACAUAGCUCAUAAGAGAUGAUCCAUGGAGUGUGCCACAAACACGAUGCACAACCGAUAAGAAAGGAAAGCUUUCACAAGGUGAUACUGUACCAUCACUCUUCAAGUAAGGUAACAUCUUAAGGUACUUGACUAUCACUUCUAUAAAGCUUAUCCUUGGUUCUGGCGUUCACAUGAAUAAAAGAGACAAACAUGUAUGAUUUACAACUCUAGAUUAACCAACCCAAUUGAUUCAACAUGUUUAGUCCUUCCACCUUUGUGAUUCCACACUCCUAAUCAUAUGAGCUAAAAUUUUGCACACACAAUCUUUGGAAGAUACAUAUAUAUAUAACAUAAGUAUAGAUAGAUUAUCUUUCCAUUAGGUUGAGCGAUCUGAUCUGACAAAUGUUUUAAAUGCUACACUCAUGAUCUUAUUAUCCAUCAACCCUGUCUUGCUCACUAUGCUUGAGGUUAGAGAGAACAAAUACACUUUUGGUUCUGUUGGUGUUUUCCACCAACAGGGCCCAUGCACUUGAUCUCUGCCUUGUCUCUAUGAGCAGGUACACUUCGAGAAAAAUAUGAAGGACUUUUACAACUCCCAGACUCCACCAAGUGAAGAACCUAGAUCUACGAGUACAAACACACUGGAGAUACUGGACACUCAGGCAAUCACUGCCCUAGGAUGCUUGAGGACGUAACUAAUGGAGUAACCCCGUUGUGAAAGUAGUUACUGACCUUCUGCCGGUCAAGAGAGACAAUCCAGGACGCCUCGUCAUCCUGAUCUCCAUCGGCAUGCCUGCAGAUCGGACACUAAGUUCCCCAAAGGGAAUAUUGAAGAACCUCUGCGUCCGAGUUGGUACCUUGUACGCCCCAGCAGACUUCGUGGUAAUAGAGACUGGUACUGAUGAGAGGGCACCCAUCCUAGGGAGGCCAUUCCUGAACACCUCAGGAGCUGUCAUCUACGCUAGUGCUGCCAAGAUCAGUUUCUACAUCAAAGGGAGAAAGAAGACGUUUUCCUUCAAGAAUAAGACUACACAAAUCUUAAAGCAAUCCCGACAUGAACCAAGGAAGAGGAUCAACAGGUGGAAUAGGAACAAGCAAAUAUGGACUGAGUCAGCUAAGAUGGUCACCACAGCUCAAGGAGGUCAAGAUCGUCAACUCAAGUCACCUUUCUUGAUCAAGAAGGAUGACCCUGGUGUUCCAAGCAUCAAGUGCACAAUCAACGGAUAUUCUUUUCAGAAGACACUCUACGACACCGGAUCUAACGUCAACAUAAUGGCCGCAGUCACUUAUCAGCUCCUGCAUGGAACCAUGUCCCUACAACCAACAUACAUUCAGCUCCAGAUGAUUUUAAGGUUAUUGACAUGGGAGAAGACAAGUACGAUCCACCCAUCAUCCUUGGAAGACCGUUCCUCAGCACUGUUAAAGCAAUCAUCUACAUUGGAACUGGAGAAGUCCACAUGCACUUCCCCUCUGAGAAGGUACGCUGCUAUUUUACUGACCCUAACUAUAUAGUUGAAGACUCUAAGCAGGUCAGGGCAAGAAGAAGACGACGCAACCGCAACCAGAGGAGGCAAAUCAUCAAGGACGGAUGGGCAGACUAUGAAAGAGAAGUCGUAAGGUCUGAAGACAUACAACUUGAACAUAACUAUCCUAAGGAGACCGUAGCACCGAGUCAGGUGUGUAGAGAGAAGAAUGUUAUACACGAAGAGGAGGCGCCGCCGGAACCACCGACUACGCCAUCCAGCGAAUCCCAGGACGACUGAGAAAACGGAGAGUCCCGUUCGGAGGACUUAAAAACACCGAACGCCUUGCCAAGAGGUAAACUUGGUAGUUAUCUUUUUCCUUUCAAUUAUUUAAAAUAGUUUGCUUAGUUAAUCAGGUUCAUAUCAUCUUGAAAAGAAAAUAAAAAUAUUGAAGAUAGUAAGCCCCAUGUGAGUAUGCUCAUGGCAUAAAACCCAUAAGUACAUUCACUGUGGUGGCAUAAAAAUAAAAUAAAUAUAUUCCUGUCCUAUAAAAAUGAAAAUAUAAAAAUAAAUUUAUGAUCCUACUAAAGAGAGUAACAUUUAUUGAGGAGGCUCAACAUGAUAAAGGCUAGAUAUUUAUGCUAACACUUAACCAGUUCCACAAAGCUUUGUUGUCUAUUUGAGUUCCACAGAAUUCAAGGAUCAAAGAAAACUAGCCGAUGGAGGACAUCCUAAUCACUGUCAGGAUGCUGCUGACAUUCAAAUACACCUCAACCACCUGCUAGCUACAUCAGAUGAAAUUGCGUCAAAAUCCAGCUUGGGGGAGAGCACCCCCAUUUAUCGAGCUAAGUAUUCUACUCAGGUUUAUACUUUACUCUAAUAAUAAAAAGAUGCAUAAUCAUAGAAACCAAAAUAAAGAUUUUGUGCUUAUAUAUAUCUUCGCUUAGUUUGCUAAAUAAAUAAAUAAAUAAAGUUUGCUAUGAACCCUCAUGAUAAGCUCUCACAUGGAUAUGAUGAGUAGUUGCUCUGCCAUGAUUAGUUCUCAAAAUUAAAAUCUCUCUCAAGUUUAGGCAUGACUGUUAUUAAUUAAGGUUUGCUCUAAACCUGAACUUGUGGGGAGAGUACUUGAUCUAAAGUCUAAGUCGUUAAUGGAUAUGAUAUGGGAAGGUUGAGCUGCUGUUUAUCUGUUCCUAGAGAUGCUAGAAUUCUGGAGAAUUUUAUUUCUGAAAAUCUUUAAAAUGUUGCACGAUGAGUUCCUGUAUGAUGAGAGUUUAAAUUCCUACCACAGCCAUAUAUACAUGCUUGCUAGACUUUGAGCCACAUAUUUACUUUUUACUGCUUAUGAGCAUUGAGUGUGGUCAAGCUGUGUAGACCCUUAGGAGCUUGUCAUGUGGUUAAAAUCAAGAUUCACUUGCACGUUCAUUCAUACAUGCUGCUUCUACUCCGAAAGUACCAUCCACAUAUAUCCACCCAUUUCCAUCUCCAGAACCACCCAAAAAUAUUCUACUCCUAAUCCGGGAGAGAAUAGCCAAAAAUAUUUCUAUUUUUCCCCUAUGAAAUAAAUGCUCAAGUUAUCUUGUUACUACCACUUGCUAUAUUAUCUCAUGAGAUGAGUGCUCUAAUAAAAAAAAGAGAGAAAAAAAUGAGAGAAAAAAAAGAAAAAAAAAGAGAUACGAGGAAAUAAAAAGGGGCAAGUGCCCGGAACCUCGAAAGAAAAGAAAAAGUGAGACGAGAGGUAAAAAUGGACAUGUGUCCGACAGUAGAAUUAGGGGUACAAGAUACCCACCUGAGAGAAAAGAAAAAGAAAAUAUAGAGCAUCUCAUUCUCCUCAAAAAGCCUCAAAUGCAAGAAAGGUAUGUAUCCCCUCAAAAGAGCAAAAGUAGAAUUAGACUUUCACCAUUAUCACCAUCAUCACCAUAUACCAUUCAUUCGCCACACAUGCACAUCUUGAUUUGACUUAUUGACUUGUUCUUCUGGAUCCAUAGUUUGACUAUGCAAUAAAUGUCUUGUAAGUAUGUAUUAGCUGUCUCCCACCUAUGAGCUCCAGAUAUCAAAAGACUUAUCAGAGUAGGGUGAGAGAGAAGGAAAUGCCACUAUGCCUUAUACCACAAAUACCACAUACUUUGAGAGAAGGCAUACACCAUUAAUGCCUUGGUAAGGAUCCAGAAAUACCACAAAAGAGAGACUAGAGAGAGUCAUACAAGGAAUCUCUGAGUUUUAUUUGAAAAUCUACAAAAACUCCAGAGCUAUAGCUGAUCAAGAAUAAGAGACAUGGUGCUUGACUAGACUGUUCUAUCUUUUAACUACUCAAGACAGAAGUGACGGUUACAAGUCCCUUGGUGAAAGGUAAAUGAGUAAGUUUAAAUAUUAACAGUUUACCCUAACCCAGAGAUGAAAUCUUGUUUAAACGCAUGUGUAUCUUUAAGUUAUGAAACUACUGCAGAAACUCUUGAGUUCAUCUUUGCUCAGGGACGAGCAAAGGUUAAGCUUGGGGGAGCUUGUUGACGGUCCUUAAUGCUCAUAUUUAACCAUCAAUUAAUCAUGGAAAAGGAUCCAAAUACAACCAACACCUAGACUUAGGGUUUUAUCUGACAGAAUUCCACAAGUUUUGGUGUUUGUCUAUUUCUGCAGGGGGUUAUCAGGAAAUACGGAAGAAAGGCCCACAAGUCGGGUUUACAUAGAGAUAUUAAUGUGCCGCGCAAUUUUCUAUCAUCUAGAAGACUCCAGAAGCCACGGGACCGAACGGGAGACGUAACGGAGCCGGGCACUGGGCGCCCGCCCUCCCCCCUAGACCAAUCAGGGUGAAGUUCGGAGAUCAUGCUCCACCGACCUAAUACUUCAAGGAAAACCACACGAUCAAUGUCGGUUUGAUCCGAUGGCCCAGAUUCACUUGAAGGGACUAUAAAACCAGACCCCCCUGGCCCCUGGAGAUCAUACCUCUUCUACAGAAUCAAAGUUAGGGUUUCAAUUCUUCAUCCAAGUAGAGAGAUCCCUCUAGUUCUUCUAGUUCUACCUCUAGUUCAUCUAGAUCUAGUUCUAGUUCAUCUAGUUCUAGUUCUAGUUCCUCUAGUUCUAGUUCUAGUUAGUUCUAGUUGUAAUCUAGAAAAUAGGGAGAGAGAAGAGGAGAGCGGAGGAGGAGCCGGAUCUGUCGGAUCUUCCUCAACAUUGUACUUUUGCAGCAACUGGUUCGUUCUUCAUCGUUCUCCAGGUUCUUCAAUUCAUAACUCCUGAGUUCUCUAAUUACUUUUAUUUACAUUCAAGUUAUUUAUUGGAUUCCCGCUUGCAUCAAGUGCUCUAGUCUUUAUAACGCUAGAGUAGUAAUUAAUAGAUUAGACGUGGUGUUUAGUCUUGCGAUUACCUGGAAUUGCACCCAAUCCUACGGAUUGUUGUGGUAGCCCUAGGGUAGUGACAGCCCUAACGGUCGACGUAUUCCACCACGUUCGGAUCGGUGUUUGUAGGACCGUAGUCAGACCUUCCUAGCCCCCUUCUCAUCUCUUUCUGUGGUUAGUGCUCUGAUGUCCCGAUAUAGAUAAUCUUGAAGUAAAUCUUGAUUCUUAGAUCAACUAGAGAACUCUCAGGAAACUUCCUCUCUUCCCUCCAAAAAUAAUUAUAUAGUUAUCCUUGGGCAAUCUUGGGUCUUAAUUAGUACACUCACGUUCCCUGUGGAAAAUCGAUACUCUGGAAUACUCCCGGGUGAAGGCUACAUCGGUAUCCGUGCGCUUGCGGAUUUUUCUGUUUGCGUUUAAAAUACCCAACAACAGGAAAGAAAGAAAAAAUCAAAAGUCCCCGUCAUGAAAAAAAAUUAGAUAGAGCCCAUAUGUUUUCCUCUUCCUCUCUCUCUUAUCCUCCAAAUAAAAGAGAUGAUGCAUAGGAGUGACCAAAAAAAUUUAGAAUUAGGAUUUCCACCAAUUCCUCAUACUCCACACACUUGCACAUCUCAAUCAAGGUGUACGAUUUGUAUCUCCUCAUGGUCCGGGCUUUGACUCAGCAAUACAAGUGCCGUAAGUACGCCCACCUUUAUAACUGCCCAAAACUCCACUCUCAGCCUUAGUGGUAAGGUUUAAAGGCAAUGCCUCUGGUAAGGAUUUCAUACACAUUGAGCGAUUGAGAGAAUCAUUCGAGGAACUCAUUUAUUUUGCAAAACUUAUAAAAAAACCUCCGGAUUGAUAGUCUAUCAAAAGAUGAAUGAUUGGUGAGUCUGUUACAACUGUUCUAUCUUGCAACCACCC
rnacentral:lncRNA from 1 species